rnacentral:rRNA from 1 species
GACGGACGCUGGCGGCGUGCCUAAUACAUGCAAGUCGAGCGCAGGAAACUGACGGAACUCUUCGGAGGGAAGGCAGUGGAAUGAGCGGCGGACGGGUGAGUAACACGUAAGGAACCUGCCUCAAGGAUUGGGAUAACUCCGGGAAAUCGGAGCUAAUACCGGAUAGUUCAACGGACCGCAUGGUCCGCUGAUGGAAGGCGCUUCGGCGUCACCUUGAGAUGGCCUUGCGGUGCAUUAGCUAGUUGGUGGGGUAACGGCCCACCAAGGCGACGAGGCAUAGCCGACCUGAGAGGGUGAUCGGCCACACUGGGACUGAGACACGGCCCAGACUCCUACGGGAGGCAGCAGUAGGGAAUCUUCCACAAUGGACGAAAGUCUGAUGGAGCAACGCCGCGUGAGUGAUGAAGGUUUUCGGAUCGUAAAACUCUGUUGUAAGGGAAGAACACGUACGAGAGGGAAUGCUCGUACCUUGACGGUACCUUACGAGAAAGCCACGGCUAACUACGUGCCAGCCGCCGCCGUAA